UACGAGGGGGGCAAGCGUUGUUCGGAAUUAUUGGGCGUAAAGGGUGCGUAGGCGGUCUGACAAGUCUGAUGUGAAAUCUAUGGGCUCAACCCAUAGUCUGCAUCGGAAACUGUCGGGCUUGAGUAUGGGAGAGGUGAGUGGAAUUUCCGGUGUGGCGGUGAAAUGCGUAGAUAUCGGAAGGAACACCUGUGGCGAAAGCGGCUCACUGGACCAUUACUGACGCUGAGGCACGAAAGCUAGGGGAGCAAACAGG
rnacentral:rRNA from 1 species